rnacentral:rRNA from 1 species
UACAGAGGGGGCGAGCGUUGUUCGGAAUUACUGGGCGUAAAGGGCUCGUAGGCGGCCAACUAAGUCAGACGUGAAAUCCCUCGGCUUAACCGGGGAACUGCGUCUGAUACUGGAUGGCUUGAAUCCGGGAGAGGGAUGCGGAAUUCCAGGUGUAGCGGUGAAAUGCGUAGAUAUCUGGAGGAACACCGGUGGCGAAGGCGGCUUUCUGGUCCGAAACUGACGCUGAGAUGCGAAAGCCAGGGGAGCAAACAGG